GGGAACCAACAAUAUCAUACCGAGAGACAAGAGUUCGGUUUAUGAUUGGGAGGCGAAAGAAACGCCCAUUGAACAGACUGAUAGGAGAGAGUGACGAGGAAGACGAUAUGAAAGAGGAGAUGGCCACCCUGAUGCAACGUCCUGGGAUUAUAGUUGUCAUCUUGCUCUUUUUUGGAUGUACCUGCCUACUUUCUGCUCUGCACUUGAGAUAUUCAGAGUCACUAGUUCCACUUUCUUUACUGGAUAUGGAUAAGUGUCAGGAAAAGCUCCCAGAGAGUUACCACCAAGAUCUGCUGGAGAUGAAGAAGAAGUUUGAAUACCUUCUACCGCAAGCAGAUCUCUGGCCCAACUUUGCUCUGGAGUCACAAGGUGCAAGAGUUGUGUACACAACACCACUGAAACAUAUCAGAGCUUCAGGUCAUGCAAAUUGUUUGGGAUACCUUUAAAUCAACAACCUUUGGGCCCAAACAUUGUCAUUCAGGGAAGGACUCAUCUGAAUCCUGGAGAAUGCUGGGCAUUCGCAGGUUUCCCAGGAAGUUUGUCUGUUGAACUGUCCCACAAGGCCAUUGUGACUCAUGUGUCUGUAGGUCACAUUCCAAAGAUGAUAUCCCCAUCUUUCACAGUUUCUAGCGCUCCAAAGGAAUUUUCUGUUUAUGGAAAGAAGAAUAUAAAAGAAAAGGAGACUUUCUUGGGAAGUUUUCAAUAUAAAGAAGAUGGCGACAGGAUUCAGACCUUCAAACUUCCUGAUGAUAACACUGACUCCUUCACCUAUGUUAGCAUACAGGUGAACAGCAACUGGGGUCAUCCAGAGUACACCUGCCUCUAUAACUUUAGAGUGCAUGGUGAACUUGCCCCAUGAAG